rnacentral:lncRNA from 10 species
AGUCUUGCUCUGUCGCCCAGGCUGGAGUGCAGUGGUGCGACCUUGGCUCACUGGUUUGGGGCAUGUUCCUGGGUGUGUCUGUGAGGAGCAAGAAAGCCAGUUCAAGUCCCAAAACCUCAAAAGUAGGGAAGCCGACAGGGCAGCCUUAAGUCUGUGGCUGAAGGCCUGAGAGACCCUGGCAAAUCACUGAUAUAAGUCCAAAAGCUGAAGAACUUGGAAUCUGAUGUUGGAAUCUGAUCUUGGCCCAUCCUUGAAGAAUCUGGGGGUAAUAAAUACCCUGAACAUUGAUGAACCCAAAGGGAAGCCAGAAGCCUUGAUGACACGGUGACAUAUAGAAGAACUGAUGCCCUUUGCUUUGAGCUGCACAAAAACCUGGCGCUGGACUUGGAGAAGCUGAAAGACAGGACCCGGCAGGAGCCUGAGGAGCUGCAGGCUGCUAGCCUGUAGACCACCGUGCUGUGUUAGCCACUGCAGCUGGGACCAUUCUGACACUCAGAGCCUGGAAAUGGCUGCUCCCUCCUGCCUGCUAUCCAAGUAUCCUGUGGAUACUUGGCUUUUCUCUUGUGGGCAACACUAACCUGAAACUCUUUGGGGAAGGGAAUUGAGGAAAUGUAGUUCCAAGAUUAGCCAAUUUAACUCAGCAUAAACCCAUCACAGGGUUUGACUACAGAGUUAUAACGUUAUUCUGUAGGCAAUGAAAACAGAAGUUUUUGAAAAAGGCAUCAAUUUGAUGAAAUUGAUAUUUUGGGGAAGAUUAAUCUUCUGCUGAGUAAAAUAUAACAGGUUGGAGGAAGAUGAAAAUGGAGAGAGUAGAGUGUAAUUAAAAGUUUGUUGGAGGCCGGGCACGGGAUUACGGCUCACUCCUGUAAUCCCAGCACUUUGGGAGGCUGAGGUGGGCGGAUCACCUGAGGUCAGGAGCUUGAGAUCAUCCCGGCCAACAUAGUGAAACCCUGUCUCUAAUAAAAAUACGAAAAAUUAGCUGGGCAUGGUGGCGCACACCUGUAAUCUCAGCUACUCGGGAGGCUGAGGCAGGAGAAUCCCUUGAACCCAGGAGGCAGAGGUUGCAAUGAGCCAAGAUGGUGUGAUUGCACUCCAGCCCAGGGGACAAUGUGAGACUCUGUCUCAAAAAAAAAAAAAAAUUUGUUGUAGUAGUCCAGGUGUCCGGGUGUUGUUACCAGGGCACCCAUGAUGAAAUAACUGGGAGAGUCCUUUUUUCUGACUGGUUUUCUUCAGUCCCUUUAUCUACAGGCACAACUGCUGAAGAAACCAGAUGGCCUGGGAUGGCACCAGAGCUUUUUUACCCUUGACCAGAUACUAGAGGGAAUUAAGACCCCACAAGUGGGCACGAACUGGAACUGGCGACCCCUAGUUGCCUUCAGAUCAUUAACACAUCAUUAUAAUGCUAAAAUUCCCUGCCAUUUUGUGAACAUGGGUUGCAUGAAGACGUAAGUUUAUGAAUUGCCUCUGCACACCUAGAGUCCCACCCUGUACAGGCUAACAUUCCUCCCUACAUGCACCCCCCCACAAACACACCCUGCCUCCCCCAGUCCUUAGAAACCCUAUGCCUGGCCGGGCGCAGUGGCUCACGCCUGUAAUCCCAGCACUUUGGGAGGCUGAGGCGGGCGGAUCACUAGGUCAGGAGAUCGAGACCAUCCUGGCUAACACGGUGAAACCCUGUCUUUACUAAAAAUCCAAAAAAAAAAUUAGCCGGCGUGGUGGCGGGCGCCUGUAGUGCCAGCUAUGCGGGAGGCUGAGGCAGGAGAAUGGCGUGAACCCGGGAGGCGGAGUUGGCAGUAAGCCGAGAUCGCGCCACUGCACUCCAGCCUGGGCGACAGACCAAGACUCCGCCUCAAAAAAAAAAAAAAAAAAAAAAAAGAAAGAAAGAAAGAAAGAAAAAAGAAACCCCAUGCCUUCUACUGUUCGGGGAGAAGGUGCGUUUAGAGUGAGAGUUCGCGUUCUGCCUUCUCUGGCUAGUGAAUAAAAUCCGACUGCUUUUUACAAUUAAUGUUCUUUCUUUGCUACCAAUACAAAGUAGGGAAAAAAACUCAGUUUACCAGUGACAAUAGGAGACUAUAAAGAUCUGAACAGGAAAACAUGGAAAUUAGGUGUCAGAUUUUAGAAACAUUCUAAAGGAAGAAUUGAUAGAACUUGCUAAGCGGCUGAAUUGGAGAAUGAGGGCAAUAAUAGAAUCCAAAAUGCAGCCCGGAGCGGUGGCUCAGGCCUGUAAUCCCAGCACUCUGGGAGGCCGAGGCAGGCGGAUCAUCUGAGGUCAGGAGUUUGAGACCAGCCUGGCCAACAUGGUAGAAACCCCGUCUCUACUUAAAAAAUGCAAAAAUUAGUUGGGUGCGGUGGCAGGCGCCUAUAAUCCCGGCUACUGGGAGGCUGAGGCUGGAGAAAUCGCUUGAACCCGGGAGAUGGAGGUUGCAGUGAGCCGAGAUUGCACCACUGCACUCCAGCCUGGGCGACAGAGCGA